GACAGAGGGUGCGAACGUUGUUCGGAAUUACUGGGCGUAAAGCGCAUGUAGGCGGCAGCGCAAGUCGGGCGUGAAAUCCCACGGCUCAACCGUGGAAGUGCACUCGAAACUGCGCAGCUAGAGUCCUGGAGAGGAAGGUGGAAUGCUUGGUGUAGAGGUGAAAUUCGUAGAUAUCAAGCGGAACACCGGUGGCGAAGGCGGCCUUCUGGACAGUGACUGACGUUGAGAUGCGAAAGCGUGGGAAGCAAACAGG
rnacentral:rRNA from 1 species